GUACUACUCCCUCGGUCUUAAAAUUUUUGUUUUAGAUUUGUUUAAAUAUGAUUGUAUCUAGUCACGUUUUAAUAUUUAGAUACAUCCAUUUCUAAACAAACAUAAGACAAGAAUUUUGAAAUGAAGAGAGUACUAU
rnacentral:pre_miRNA from 1 species